rnacentral:rRNA from 1 species
AAGAAUUAUUUGGGCGAACAGACCAAUUCUUAAAAAUUUUUCUUUAUAAGUUAUUCUUAAUCCAACAUCGAGGUCGCAAUUUAUUUUGUGAAUGGGAGCUUCUCAAAAAUUUUGCG